rnacentral:rRNA from 1 species
GCCUGUGACUAUCCCAUCCUAAAUGGACUUUAUCUCAUCUAAUCUCCAAAGCUAAGCAGAUUUGGGCCUGGUUUGUAGUUAGGUGGGAAGUGGUAGUUU